rnacentral:rRNA from 1 species
AGUGAACGCUGGCGGUAGGCCUAACACAUGCAAGUCGAACGGUAGCACAGUAAGAGCUUGCUCUUACGGGUGGCGAGUGGCGGACGGGUGAGGAAUACAUCGGAAUCUACUUUUUCGUGGGGGAUAACGUAGGGAAACUUACGCUAAUACCGCAUACGACCUACGGGUGAAAGCAGGGGAUCUUCGGACCUUGCGCGAUUGAAUGAGCCGAUGUCGGAUUAGCUAGUUGGCGGGGUAAAGGCCCACCAGGGCGACGAUCCGUAGCUGGUCUGAGAGGAUGAUCAGCCACACUGGAACUGAGACACGGUCCAGACUCCUACGGGAGGCAGCAGUGGGGAAUAUUGGACAAUGGGCGCAAGCCUGAUCCAGCCAUACCGCGUGGGUGAAGAAGGCCUUCGGGUUGUAAAGCCCUUUUGUUGGGAAAGAAAAGCAGCAGGUUAAUACCCCGCUGUUCUGACGGUACCCAAAGAAUAAGCACCGGCUAACUUCGU